rnacentral:rRNA from 1 species
UACGUAGGGGGCAAGCGUUGUCCGGAUUUAUUGGGCGUAAAGAGCGUGUAGGCGGCUUUACAGGUCCGCUGUGAAAACUCGAGGCUCAACCUCGAGCUGUCGGUGGAAACCGUAAAGCUAGAGUCCGGAAGAGGAGAGUGGAAUUCCUGGUGUAGCGGUGAAAUGCGCAGAUAUCAGGAAGAACACCUAUGGCGAAGGCAGCUCUCUGGGACGGUACUGACGCUGAGACGCGAAAGCGUGGGGAGCGAACAGG